CCUGAGCUGGAGAGAGAAUGCAAGGAGGAUGAUAGCAGCUGCCGCAGGCCCACGGCCAUGAACUUGCAGGAAAAUGUGACCCUGGCCAUCGCUGUAUUCACCAUCCUGGCAUCCAUCUACUUCUUCAACAAGGCUCAGAAGUGAGAAGACCCAGAACUGCUGCCCCGAGCCCUGGACUCUGCCUCUGAGGCUGAAUAAAUGUAAC